AGCUCCAAUAGCGUAUAUUAAAGUUGUUGCAGUUAAAAAGCUCGUAGUUGGAUUUCGGGAUGGGCCAGUCGGUCUGCCGCAAGGUAAGUUACUGGCUGGUCUGUCCUUCUUCGCAAAGACUGCGCGUGCCCUUAACUGAGUGUGCGUAGGAUUUGCGACGUUUACUUUGAAAAAAUUAGAGUGUUCAAAGCAGGCUAACCGCUUGAAUACAUGAGCAUGGAAUAAUGGAAUAGGACUUUGGUUCUAUUUUGUUGGUUUCUGGAACCGAAGUAAUGAUUAAGAGGGACAGUUGGGGGCAUUAGUAUUUAAUUGUCAGAGGUGGAAUUCUCAGAUUUGUUAAAGACUAACUUAUGCGAAAGCAUUUGCCAAGGAUGUUUUCA
rnacentral:rRNA from 1 species